UACACAAAUGGCUGCAGUUACACUCACAGCCGAUGGCUGUGUGAAUAACAACAAAUUCAUACCUAGGCGCGAGUUAUGUGUUAAAACGCAUUACAUUUCUAAUCUUUGAAAGGCUUCAAACUAUGACGUUCAUCGAACGCUCGAAAACGGGUUUCAAGUUACAGAGUAAAAAACAGUGAUUGCGUUUGUCCUUGAGAAUUAUUGAAUACGCGACAAAUACGUGCAAAAAAUAAUUCUACACAUUCAGAAUCAAUCAAAUUUCUUGUAACUAUGGUGAAAGGAAAAAGGAACAGCAUAACUUUUACCGUCAAGUCAAACUCUGCCGAUUUCCUUCGCGUUCUCACUGCCACAUUGAAAAAAGAACGCUACCACAAUGCAGCGCAAACGGAGUGCGCAAACCGUCCGUCUUGCAUGCACGAAAAUAUUCACCGAAUCAUCAGAAGAAGCGUGGAGUUCUGAAGAGAUUAGACACUGUCGAGGUUGUCAUUGGGGAUGGCGGCUUCCUUUACUGCAUGGAGCGGCGUGGUUAUGUUAAAGCAGGCGCCUGGACACCAGAGGCUACUGUAGAACACCCAGAAGCUGUUCGACAGCUUCACAGUGAAUUUCUGAGAGCCGGAGCUGAUGUAAUGCAAACAUUUACAUUUUAUGCCAGUAAAGACAAGCUGGAAAAUCGCAGCCAUUCAGCUGGACAGAUCGGGGUUAAAAAAAGGGUGUAACGCUUUAAAAACCUAAUUCAUGCAGUUGUGUGAUUAUUCCAUUGUCAACCGGUUCUAAGCCCAACAGUCCGCCUUCCCCAUAAGAUCAAACCAUUCACGCCAAAAACAAAAUAAAUACAUAGAUAAAUGAACAUGUUAAUAGAUAAGGUAAUAAAAUUUAAGAAGUAAAGAACAGUGGGCUAAGUUUUAAUCUUGGACCUAAAAAUUUAAGAA
rnacentral:misc_RNA from 1 species